ACAAAAUGGUGCCUCAAAAAAGGCAUAUGAGCUGUACUAACGAGAAAGAGAAAUCUUAUAUGAAUAAGGGAAGCAGGAAAAAGAAGCAGCACAACACCAGCAGGAUCAAGCAGCAGUUAUCAAACAACGAAGUCCAUGGAGAGUAUUGAGAAUACCCAUAAUAUAUUAUAGCAGACAUAACCAAAUGAGAGUAUUGAGUAGAACAAGAGGAAUGAGAGGUCAGUGACAGAAGAUGCAAUAAUGAAUAAGGCUUUAUAACAGAUCAGCAGAACCUCUCUUCUUAUCACUCCCAGCGUCUCCGGACCCUCCAAAUAGAACAACAGAGAUGAUUAAGAGCAAGAGGAAGGAACAACAUAUUACGGUGAAAUCAUCUAAUGUUGGUAAAGACAUCAAGCUUUUUCUCACUGAUGAACCUCAAACAAUUCCAUCUCUGCCUGUUAAGGAUUAAUAUUAUUGGGUCAUGUUUAAUUUGUUUAAUGGAAUAUGAAAAUGAGGACCUGCAUAUGAGCAUUCCCUGCAAUUACACAUUUCAUGUUACAUGCUUAUCAAGGUGGCUGCUAGAAAAUUACAGUUGUCUGAUUUCGAAAAGAAUUGAAUCCAACAAUGAUCAUUACCUAAUAUUCUAUAUUCAGGACUAUUUUACACCCCAGCACAGUACCAAAAUUAAGUUGUAUUGACUUUGUUCAUCCUCAAUACUUUAACACUCGUGCACUAACAAUUCCAAUGUUCUUAGCAUAGAAGAGAAUGUUCUGUUUAUUUUUAAAUAUAUAUUUCUAUAUAUAUAUCUGA